UACGUAGGGCGCAAGCGUUGUCCGGAAUUAUUGGGCGUAAAGAGCUCGUAGGCGGUUUGUCGCGUCUGUCGUGAAAGCCCACGGCUUAACCGUGGGUCUGCGGUGGAUACGGGCAGACUAGAGGCAGGUAGGGGAGAAUGGAAUUCCCGGUGUAGCGGUGAAAUGCGCAGAUAUCGGGAGGAACACCGGUGGCGAAGGCGGUGAGCUGGGCAGUUGCUGACACUGAGGCGCGACAGCGUGGGGAGCAAACAGG
rnacentral:rRNA from 1 species